AUGAAGCCAUCUGUAAGGAGUGGUGGUGGGCGCGUGUGGCCCUGGCUGGCCGUGGCUGUCUCUGGGUGCCCCUGGCUGGCUCUGGGUGCCCCUGGGGUGUCACUCAGCACUCCGUGUCCCCUCGCAGGUGGUGAUGGAGGAGGGUGGCUACGAGGCCAUCUGCAAGGACCGGCGGUGGGCGCGCGUGGCCCUGGGUGGCCCUGGGAGCCUGUGGGUGUCUCUGGGUGUCACUGGGUGUCCCUGGCUGGCCCUGGGUGUCCCUGGCUGGCUCUGGGUGUCCCUGGGAUGUCCCUGAUUGCUCAGUGUCCCCUCCCAGGUGGUGGUGGAGGAGGGUGGCCAUGAAGCCAUCUGUAAGGAGUGGUGGUGGGCGCGUGUGGCCCUGGCUGGCCGUGGCUGUCUCUGGGUGCCCCUGGCUGGCUCUGGGUGCCCCUGGGGUGUCACUCAGCACUCCGUGUCCCCUCGCAGGUGGUGAUGGAGGAGGGUGGCUGUGAGGCCAUCUGCAAGGACUGGGGGUGGCCCUUGGUGGCUCUGGGUGGGGGGGGGGGGGGGGGGGGGGGGGGGGGGGGGGGGGGGGGGGGGGGGGGG
rnacentral:lncRNA from 12 species